UACGUAGGGGGCAAGCGUUGUCCGGAUUUAUUGGGCGUAAAGAGCGUGUAGGCGGCCAGGUAGGUCCGUUGUGAAAACUCGAGGCUUAACCUCGAGACGUCGAUGGAAACCAUCUGGCUAGAGUCCGGAAGAGGAGAGUGGAAUUCCUGGUGUAGCGGUGAAAUGCGCAGAUAUCAGGAAGAACACCCGUGGCGAAGGCGGCUCUCUGGGACGUGACUGACGCUGAGACGCGAAAGCGUGGGGAGCGAACAGG
rnacentral:rRNA from 1 species